rnacentral:rRNA from 1 species
GACGAACGCUGGCGGCGUGCUUAACACAUGCAAGUCGAACGCUGAAGCACCAGCUUGCUGGUGUGGAUGAGUGGCGAACGGGUGAGUAAUACGUGAGUAACCUGCCCUUGACUCUGGGAUAAGCCCGGGAAACUGGGUCUAAUACUGGAUGCUACAUGUCACCGCAUGGUGGUGUGUGGAAAGGGUUUACUGGUCUUGGAUGGGCUCACGGCGUAUCAGCUUGUUGGUGAGGUAAUGGCUCACCAAGGCGACGACGGGUAGCCGGCCUGAGAGGGUGACCGGCCACACUGGGACUGAGACACGGCCCAGACUCCGACGGGAGGCAGCAGUGGGGAAUAUUGCACAAUGGGCGAAAGCCUGAUGCAGCGACGCCGCGUGAGGGAUGACGGCCUUCGGGUUGUAAACCUCUUUCAGCAGGGAAGAAGCCACAAGUGACGGUACCUGCAGAAGAAGCGCCGGCUAACUACGUG